rnacentral:lncRNA from 1 species
UAGGGACAGCUGGAGGUCCCAGUUUUAGGGAUAAUCUCUGGUUUUAAAAAAUCUGCAGAGGGUUUCUAGGACCUGCAAACGUUCAUUGGAUUGCAGGACCUGGAAUUUUGCUCUUUGGAGAGCUCACACCCCUCCAAGUGGCAGCCAGCCCCCCUUUGGUGUCCCUUGCCUGUCUCCUUGUCUCAGUGCUUCUGUCCAGAGCCCAUCCUGCAAGGUUGGGAAUGAUCCCUGUACCCCCAACACCACAUUUGCUGAGCCUCCAGCCCAGGAUGAGCUCAGUGCUCCACGCCAUUCCUCAGAGGAUGGAAUUCCCAAUCCUCCAGCCGCCGUACCUGCUCUCCAUGCCCACUUUUCCCUCAGCACAGGGGCCAGAGCACAGCACAGGAGCUGUGGCAGGCUGGAAUUAAGCAGCAGGAGCAAGAGGGAUCAGCGAGGAUUUCCGGGGAGAUUUGAAACACAAACAAGCAUGAGGAACUCUAAAAGUACACAAUUUUUACUCCCGCUCUGUGUGUGUCGUUUUAUUACAGGGUAAUUAAAGAACACUUUAAAAUUGUGAUUAAUGGGCUUUUUAGCUUCAGAGAAAUCACAUCUUUGAUGUCAGUUGCUUAAACAUUCAGUUUACUUUGCCAUUGAGAAAUGGAAAUAAAUAAAGAAUGCCGAGGAUGCUUUUUUCCCCU